GCAUGAAUGGUGUAGCGGUAACAUUCAACCCUUCCAUCUGAGAAGAUUCAGGUUGAGCUCGGGGUUCGACUCCCCGUUCAUGCA